AUAAUACUCCAUAGAUUAGAGACACUGGAAUGUUCUUUAGUCGAAAGUUCUGGCGCCUUAGGAUGGAUCUGCGGUCGAUUAGGUUGUUGUUGGGGUAACGGCCCAACAAGCCUGUAAUCGAUACGGGUUGUGGGAGCAAGAGCCCGGAGAUGGAAUCUGAGACACGAUUCCAGGCCCUACGGGGCGCAGCAGGCGCGAAAACUUUACAAUGCAGGAAACUGUGAUAAGGGAACUCCGAGUGCCCGUAUACGCGGGCUGUCCGGGUGUUUAAAAAUCAUCUGAAGAAAGGGCCGGGCAAGACCGGUGCCAGCCGCCGCGGUAAUACCGGCGGCUCGAGUGGUGGCCACUAUUAUUGGGCUUAAAGCGUCCGUAGCUGGACCGAUAAGUCUCUUGGGAAAUCCGCCGGCUCAACCGGCGGGCGUCUAAGGGAUACUGUUAGUCUAGGGACCGGGAGAGGUGAGAGGUACUCCGGGGGUAGGAGUGAAAUCCUGUAAUCCCCGGGGGACCACCGAUGGCGAAGGCAUCUCACCAGAACGGCUCCGACAGUGAGGGACGAAAGCUGGGGGAGCGAACCGGAUUAGAUACCCGGGUAGUCCCAGCCGUAAACUAUGCGCGUUAGGUGU
rnacentral:rRNA from 1 species